UUAGGGAGCUUGCUUUUUAAGCUUAGUGGCGAACGGGUGAGUAACGCGUGAGUAACCUGCCCUAGAGUGGGGGACAACAGUUGGAAACGACUGCUAAUACCGCAUAAGCCCACGGUACCGCAUGGUACUGAGGGAAAAGGAUUUAUUCGCUUUAGGAUGGACUCGCGUCCAAUUAGCUAGUUGGUGAGGUAACGGCCCACCAAGGCGACGAUUGGUAGCCGGACUGAGAGGUUGAACGGCCACAUUGGGACUGAGACACGGCCCAGACUCCUACGGGAGGCAGCAGUGGGGGAUAUUGCACAAUGGGGGAAACCCUGAUGCAGCGACGCCGCGUGGAGGAAGAAGGUUUUCGGAUUGUAAACUCCUGUCGUUAGGGACGAUAAUGACGGUACCUAACAAGAAAGCACCGGCUAACUACGUGCCAGCAGCCGCGGUAAAACGUAGGGUGCAAGCGUUGUCCGGAAUUACUGGGUGUAAAGGGAGCGCAGGCGGGAAGACAAGUUGGAAGUGAAAACCAUGGGCUCAACCCAUGAAUUGCCUUCAAAACUGUUUUUCUUGAGUAGUGCAGAGGUAGGUGGAAUUCCCGGUGUAGCGGUGGAAUGCGUAGAUAUCGGGA
rnacentral:rRNA from 1 species